GGGAAGAUCCCCUGGAGAAGGAAAUGACAACCCACUCCAGUAUUCUUGCCUGGAGAAUCCCAUGGACAGAGGAGCCUGGCAGGCUACAGUCCAUGGGAUUGUAAAGAGUUGAGUAUGACUGAGCACACACACACCAGCUGUGUUUCGGAGAAGCCAGCCCCCUACCCUCUGCCCCAAUGCAUCAGGCCUGACUGUGGCCACUGCCCAGUCUCUCGCUCUGGCAUGAGCCUGUCUCUUCCUUUCACCCUUCUUUCUACCAGCAGGCAGAUCUGGAAGCGCCAUAAAAGGCUGUGUUCUGAGCUCCUCUUCCCCACCUCCCCUCAAUCAGGCUCGUCCCUUACAGAGUCCUGAAAUUCCACUGUUAGCAAUGCCUGUCCUUAGGCUGGGCUUUCAGAAGUAUCAAUAUCCCAUGAGAGGGACCCCAGAGGAAGUGAACUGGUUUCUGAAGUAUUUCCCAAACUGGAGAUGAGUGAGGCUUCCCUGGUGGUCCAGUGGUUAAGAACCCACCCUGCAAUGCAACGGACACUGGUUUGAUCCCUGGUCCAGGAAGAUCCCACGUGUGGCCCGUGUGCCACAGCUACAGAGUCCAAGCUACAGAGCCCAAGAGCUGCGACUACUGGAGCCUGCGUGCCUGGAGGCAACGAAAGAAGCCAACGCAAUGAGAAACCGACACACCACAGUGAGAAACCACGUGAGGAGUAGCCCCAGCUCGCCACGACUAGAGAAAGCCCGAGCACAGCAACAAAGACCCACUACAGCCAAUAAAUAAAUAAAUAUUUUUAAAAAGCGAGUUAAGACCCAGGACUUCCCUGGUGGUCCAGUGGUUACGACUCUGAGCUUCCAAUGCAGGGAGCAUAGGUUUGAUCCCUGGAACUAAUCUUGAGGAACUAAGAUCCCCCAUGCCACACAGCCAAAAAAAAAAAAAAAUGAAGGAAAAGAAAAUUAAGGCUCGAGAGGUGUGAGUAUGUAGGUGUGUGGGGGAAAGGCUGAGAUGGAGGCCACUUCUAAAUGGGGAAAGGCCCUGCAGGUCUCUUCUCUCACCCUCACCUCUCAUCUGGGCACAGAUCAACCUCCAAAAAGUGCCUUUGACACAGACGAGUUUCCCCUAGAGGUCUCCCUGGAGGAGGAAUCUCUCCCGGCUGCAUGGCAGAGAAGAAAGCCAGCAGGAUGGCAUGGAGGGAGACUUCAUUGUGAGUCUCUGCUAAUCUUAGUGCAUGGUGGAGCAGGAGGGCUGGGCCUUUACUCCUGUUCCCACUCCUGGGCUGAACUGCAGCUGUGGACACAAGGCAAGACUCAGAGAAGGACUCGGCUGAGCCUGGCAGCCACUGCACCCUGGACAGGACAGGGGAGGUCCUGGUAAGGAACACAGAACUAACAAGCCACCACCAACCAGAAGAGUUCAGGAAAGAUCAAAAGGAGAGGCCACCUUUCCUACUGCUGCUGCUGCUGCUGCUGCUAAGUCACUUCAGUCGUGUCCGACUCUGUGUGACCCCAUAGGCAUCCUCCCAGAAUACUCGCUGGAAUCCACCUUGGCUGAGCAAUGUGUGCACCACCAGGAAGGACCCUGGGUCACAGUGAUUAGCCAGAGACAACCCCAAAACUAGUUCCCUCACCAUAAAACCUGAGACUGCGGGCCACAUGGCAGAGCAGUUUUCCUGGGUUUUUACCCUCCUGCUCUCCCUCUGGGUGCCCCUUCCC
ensembl:lncRNA